rnacentral:rRNA from 1 species
AUCCUGCGAACUUUCUAGAGAUAGAUUGGUGCCUUCGGGAGCGCAGUGACAGGUGCUGCAUGGCUGUCGUCAGCUCGUGUCGUGAGAUGUUGGGUUAAGUCCGUAACGAGCGCAACCCCUGUCCUUAGUUGCCAUCAUUCAGUUGGGCACUUUAAGGAGACUGCCGGUGACAAACCGGAGGAAGGUGGGGAUGAUGUCAAGUCAUCAUGGCCCUUACGGCCUGGGCUACACACGUGCUACAAUGGUUGGUACAAAGGGUCGCGAAGCCGCGAGGUGGAGCUAAUCCCAUAAAACCAAUCGUAGUCCGGAUUGGAGUCUGCAACUCGACUCCAUGAAGUCGGAAUCGCUAGUAAUCGUGAAUCAGAAUGUCACGGUGAAUACGUUCCCGGGCCUUGUACACACCGCCCGUCACACCAUGGGAGUGGGUUGCACCAGAAGUGGCUAGUCUAACUUCGGAGGACGGUCACCACGGUGUGAUUCAUGACUGGGGUGAAGUCGUAACAAGGUAGGCGUAGUGCU